GGAUAACAGCUGGAAACGGUUGCUAAUACCGCAUAAGCGCACAGAGCUGCAUGGCUCGGUGUGAAAAACUCCGGUGGUAUGGGAUGGGCCCGCGUCUGAUUAGGCAGUUGGCGGGGUAACGGCCCACCAAACCGACGAUCAGUAGCCGGCCUGAGAGGGCGACCGGCCACAUUGGGACUGAGACACGGCCCAAACUCCUACGGGAGGCAGCAGUGGGGAAUAUUGCACAAUGGGGGGAACCCUGAUGCAGCGACGCCGCGUGAGCGAAGAAGUAUUUCGGUAUGUAAAGCUCUAUCAGCAGGGAAGAUAAUGACGGUACCUGACUAAGAAGCCCCGGCUAACUACGUGCCAGCAGCCGCGGUAAUACGUAGGGGGCAAGCGUUAUCCGGAUUUACUGGGUGUAAAGGGAGCGUAGACGGCAAGGCAAGUCUGAUGUGAAAACCCAGGGCUUAACCCUGGGACUGCAUCGGAAACUGUCUGGCUCGAGUGCCGGAGAGGUAAGCGGAAUUCCUAGUGUAGCGGUGAAAUGCGUAGAUAUUAGGAAGAACACCAGUGGCGAAGGCGGCUUACUGGACGGUAACUGACGUUGAGGCUCGAAGGCGUGGGGAGCAAACAGGAUUAGAUACCCUGGUAGUCCACGCCGCAAACGAUGGAUGCUAGGUGUUGGGGAGCAAAGCUCUUCGGUGCCGCCG
rnacentral:rRNA from 1 species